AAAAAAGCCUGUGAAGUAAGAAUAUAAGUAAAUAUAUUAAUAUAUAACAAAAUCCCUUCAAGAAAAUAUUGUGACCUUUAGUUUAGUCAUGCAGUUCUAUGACAGCAGAUCUUUUUUUAUGUUAUGCAACUUUACCAUAAGUUUGACCAAAUGCAAAGCAAAUGCAAAGCAAAUGCAAAGCAAACAAUAAAAAUCAGGAAAGAGAACACA
rnacentral:lncRNA from 1 species